rnacentral:rRNA from 1 species
UACGUAGGGUGCGAGCGCUGUCCGGAAUUACUGGGCGUAAAGAGCUCGUAGGUGGUUUGUCGCGUUGUUCGUGAAAACUCACAGCUCAACUGUGGGCGUGCGGGCGAUACGGGCAGACUGGAGUACUGCAGGGGAGACUGGAAUUCCUGGUGUAGCGGUGGAAUGCGCAGAUAUCAGGAGGAACACCGGUGGCGAAGGCGGAUCUCUGGGCCAUUACUGACGCUGAGGAGCGAAAGCGUGGGGAGCGAACAGG